AUUGAACGCUGGCGGCAGGCCUAACACAUGCAAGUCGAACGGUAACAGGAAACAGCUUGCUGUUUCGCUGACGAGUGGCGGACGGGUGAGUAAUGUCUGGGAAACAGCCUGAUGGAGGGGGAUAACUACUGGAAACGGUAGCUAAUACCGCAUAACGUCGCAAGACCAAAGAGGGGGACCUUCGGGCCUCUUGCCAUCGGAUGUGCCCAGAUGGGAUUAGCUAGUAGGUGGGGUAACGGCUCACCUAGGCGACGAUCCCUAGCUGGUCUGAGAGGAUGACCAGCCACACUGGAACUGAGACACGGUCCAGACUCCUACGGGAGGCAGCAGUGGGGAAUAUUGCACAAUGGGCGCAAGCCUGAUGCAGCCAUGCCGCGUGUAUGAAGAAGGCCUUCGGGUUGUAAAGUACUUUCAGCGGGGAUGAAGGGAGUAAAGUUAAUACCUUUGCUCAUUGACGUUACCCGCAGAAGAAGCACCGGCUAACUCCGUG
rnacentral:rRNA from 1 species